CAGGCUGCAACCCGCCUGCAUGAAGUUGGAAUCGCUAGUAAUCGCGGAUCAGCAUGCCGCGGUGAAUACGUUCCCGGGCCUUGUACACACCGCCCGUCACACCAUGAGAGUCGGGAACACCCGAAGUCCGUAGCCUGACCGCAAGGGGGGCGCGGCCGAAGGUGGGUUCGAUAAUUGGGGUGAAGUCGUAACAAGGUACC
rnacentral:rRNA from 1 species